rnacentral:sRNA from 1 species
AACAGAUAAGUGACGUAGUAUCCUAGUCAGUUCAUGCGAUUCCCAAGACGGGCCUAAAAAUCCGUAGACGGGCAUAUCGAUGAAGUCUCUGGUGUUUGCUUCUUACGCCCAGUUUGGGGUGGAUGCUGGAGGUUAAGGCUUGAGGGCGCGCUUCAAUGGCAUGAAGUACCGACCUCCUGCCGUGGAGACCCGUGACUGUCGGAUGCCUAUAGCAUUUCACAAGAGAUUGAUGGACGUCCAACGGCACGGGAUGAAACCUGCAAUGCGGUGCAGCGGAAGUUACAAAGGAUUGAUCACCGACGUAAGGACCAAAGUGCUGUGUGCAGUGUAGCCUGCCUUGAGUGGCCAUGGUGAAUAAGGUAUCCGCCUGCGGUUUCCCGGCCAGGAAUGCCGCGGGAAUUGACUUUUGAAACCAUGUCUGCAAAAGAGGCUAAGAAUCGUUUUGACUGUAGUGGAAAUCACCUAGGCUAUUCUAACGAGGCAGACCGUGGAUUGCAGUGCGGACUCAGUGGCAAUUCGGUCCCGAACGUGGUAACAUCUCGGCACGGACUUUAAUGGGAAACCCCCUUGACGGCGACGCGAGGCAGUCCGCGGGGAAAACCAACCGAACCUCAAGCCGCAAGAUUUACUCGGUCUGCCGUCACUUACCUUAAUA